rnacentral:misc_RNA from 1 species
AACUUUUAGCAACGGAUCUCUUGGCUCUUGCAUCAAUGAAGAAUGCAGCGAAAUGUGAUAAGUAAUGUGAAUUGCAGAAUUCAGUGAAUCAUUGAAUCUUUGAACACACCUUGCACCCUUUGGAAUUCCGAAGGGUAUGCUCGUUUGAGUGUCAUUGUACUCUCACACUCUCAGAUUGUUUUGAUUUGGGAGUGGUGGACUUGGGUGUUGCUGCUGCUUACCUGUGGCUGGCUCGCCUCAAAUGCGUCAGUGCAUCUCUUGGUUGGACAUAGUAUGGCAUGAUAAGUGUCUUCGCCAGCACCUCGCAAGAGGGUGGCCGAUUGAGAGCUCUGUGCCCUCGAACCGUCUGUGGACUCAGACACUGUCUGACAACUUGACCUCAAAUUGAGUAGGACUACCCACUGAACUUAAGCAUAUCAAUAAGCGGAGGCU